GAGUGAAUGAUGACAAAUAAUUAUCACAAAGAGAGAUAAUGACACAAAAAUCAUGUACAAAAGCAUUAUACUGAGACCC
rnacentral:snoRNA from 1 species